rnacentral:ncRNA from 1 species
AGCCGAGGACGACCUCGCCUUGUUGGCUGAUCAUUCGGGACGACCCGA